GACGUAGGGGGCCAGCGUUGCUCGGAAUUACUGGGUGUAAAGGGUUCGUAGGCGGUGUGGCAAGUCGGGAGUGAAAUCUCUGGGCUCAACCCAGAGGCUGCUUCCGAAACUGCCGUGCUUGAGUGUGGGAGAGGCGCGUGGAAUUGCAGGUGUAGCGGUGAAAUGCGUAGAUAUCUGCAGGAACACCCGUGGCGAAAGCGGCGCGCUGGACCACAACUGACGCUGAGGAACGAAAGCUAGGGGAGCAAACAGG
rnacentral:rRNA from 1 species